rnacentral:rRNA from 1 species
CCUACGGGUGGCAGCAGUGGGGAAUAUUGCACAAUGGGCGCAAGCCUGAUGCAGCCAUGCCGCGUGUAUGAAGAAGGCCUUCGGGUUGUAAAGUACUUUCAGCGGGGAGGAAGGUGUUGUGGUUAAUAACCACAGCAAUUGACGUUACCCGCAGAAGAAGCGCCGGCCGACUCCGUGCCAGCAGCCGCGGUAAUACGGAGGGUGCAAGCGUUAAUCGGAAUUACUGGGCGUAAAGCGCACGCAGGCGGUCUGUCAAGUCGGAUGUGAAAUCCCCGGGCUCAACCUGGGAACUGCAUUCGAAACUGGCAGGCUAGAGUCUUGUAGAGGGGGGUAGAAUUCCAGGUGUAGCGGUGAAAUGCGUAGAGAUCUGGAGGAAUACCGAUGGCGAAGGCAGCCAUCUGGCCUAACACUGACGCUGAGGUGCGAAAGCAUGGGGAGCAAACAGGAUUAGAUACCCCGGUAGUC